AUUGAACGCUGGCGGCAUGCUUUACACAUGCAAGUCGAACGGUAACAGGCCUUCGGGUGCUGACGAGUGGCGAACGGGUGAGUAAUGCAUCGGAACGUACCCAGAGGUGGGGGAUAACGCAGCGAAAGCUGUGCUAAUACCGCAUGUGAUCUGAGGAUGAAAGCGGGGGACCGAGCAGCAAUGUUUCGCCUCGCGCCUUUGGAGCGGCCGAUGUCGGAUUAGCUAGGUGGUGGGGUAAAGGCCUACCAAGGCGACGAUCCGUAGCUGAUCUGAGAGGACGAUCCGCCACACUGGAGAUUGAACAGCGACCAGAAGUCUAAGGGAGGGAGCAGGUGGGAAUUUUAGGCAAUGGGGGAAAGCCUGACACAGGAAAGGCGCGUGGGGGAAGAAGGCCCUCGGGGUGGAAAACCGUUUUUGGAGGGAAGAAACGGUGUCCGCUAAUACCGGGCGCUAAUGACGGUACCUGCAGAAUAAGCACCGGCUAACUACGUG
rnacentral:rRNA from 1 species